AGUGAACGCUGGCGGUAGGCCUAACACAUGCAAGUCGAACGGCAGCACAGAGGAACUUGCUCCUUGGGUGGCGAGUGGCGGACGGGUGAGGAAUACAUCGGAAUCUACUCUGUCGUGGGGGAUAACGUAGGGAAACUUACGCUAAUACCGCAUACGACCUACGGGUGAAAGCAGGGGAUCUUCGGACUUUGUGCGAUUGAAUGAGCCGAUGUCGGAUUAGCUAGUUGGCGGGGUAAAGGCCCACCAAGGCGACGAUCCGUAGCUGGUCUGAGGGGAUGAUCAGCCACACUGGAACUGGGACACGGUCCAGACUCCUACGGGAGGCAGCAGUGGGGAAUAUUGGACAAUGGGCGCAAGCCUGAUCCAGCCAUACCGCGUGGGUGAAGAAGGCCUUCGGGUUGUAAAGCCCUUUUGUUGGGAAAGAAAUCCAUCUGGUUAAUACCCGGGUGGGAUGACGGUACCCAAAGAAUAAGCACCGGCUAACUUCGUGCCAGCCGCCGCCGUAA
rnacentral:rRNA from 1 species